UCCCUGGUGGCUCAGACGGUAAGGCGUCUGUCUACAAUUCAGGAGACCCAGGUUCGAUCCCUAGGUUGGGAA
rfam:TPA: Bos taurus chromosome 2, whole genome shotgun sequence.